rnacentral:rRNA from 1 species
UUAAAUUGAAGAGUUUGAUCAUGGCUCAGAUUGAACGCUGGCGGCAGGCCUAACACAUGCAAGUCGAACGGUAACAGGAAGAAGCUUGCUUCUUUGCUGACGAGUGGCGGACGGGUGAGUAAUGUCUGGGAAACUGCCUGAUGGAGGGGGAUAACUACUGGAAACGGUAGCUAAUACCGCAUAACGUCGCAAGACCAAAGAGGGGGACCUU